rnacentral:rRNA from 1 species
UACGGAGGGUGCGAGCGUUGUCCGGAAUCACUGGGCGUAAAGGGCGCGUAGGCGGCCUGAUAAGUAGGGGGUGAAAUCCUGCGGCUUAACCGCAGGGCUGCCUUCUAAACUGUCAGGCUAGAGCACAGUAGAGGCAGGUGGAAUUCCCGGUGUAGCGGUGGAAUGCGUAGAGAUCGGGAGGAAUACCUAUGGCGAAAGCAGGCUUCUGGUCCAUCACUGACGCUGAUCUGCGAAAGCUAGGGGAGCAAACAGG